GUGGGUGAUCUGCCCUGCACUCUGGGAUAAGCCUGGGAAACUGGGUCUAAUACCGGAUAGGACCAUGCUUUAGUGUGUGUGGUGGAAAGUUUUUUCGGUUGUAGGAUGAGCCCGCGGCCUAUCAGCUUGUUGGUGGGGUAAUGGCCUACCAAGGCGGCGACGGGUAGCCGGACUGAGAGGUUGGUCGGCCACAUUGGGACUGAGAUACGGCCCAG
rnacentral:rRNA from 1 species